UUCUUUUUCUUCACCGAACAAAGCCACAGCCUCUACUGCAUUGAGACCUCAAACCUGCAAACAUUCUUUUAAACCGAAACUAUGUGAGCUGAUGAUGUAUCCACAUACUGCACCCAAGGUAACACCCUUACACCAGCAGCUGAUGUAUCCAUGUCUUCUAUAAUCAUACACCCAAGGUAGCCACAUAUUGCACCCAACAGCACCCAAGGUAGAAACAGAACAUGUCGCACCCAACACAGAACCUCAAUACCAGCAGCUGCUGUAUGCUGCCAUAGGACAGCAAUAUGCAUCACAGAUGAUCACAUACUGUGAGUCAUACAACAUCUGUUGUAUGUUGCCAUAGGACAACAGCAUAUAACAGAACAGCAGCAUACAAAAGACUUCAACAGACUUCAACAAGACUUCAAUUACAGCAGACCAAAACCAAAACCAUGAACACGCCUUAACCAGCAUUUAGCCUACCAGAACAGAAUAGAACUCAAUACCAACAGAAUAGAACUCAUUGCUCGAAUGUCACCAACAGAACAGAACAACACAGCAGAACAGAACAACCAGCAGAACAGAACACAACACAGAUGAUGACAACACAGCAGAACAGAACAACUAACACAGAUGAUGACCAACUAACAUAUAUUCCAUCCAAGAUUUUGUUUCCAAUCUGAAUCAGAUCAGGUUGUGUAUUUGAGUGCUGCUGUUUUAGUUGUUCUCUCAAGCCAACUUCCCUUAACCUUGAAAUCACAAACUUCUUCUUUAGUAUUGACAGCCAAGAACACAUCUAAUUCGGUCUUGAAUUGGAUAAGUGACUACUUUUUAACACUGAAAAACAGAUCUUUGGGGUCUGAGCUCAGUGAAACCAAUGCUUCUGAAUAGUCGACAAUUUCAUCAGUUGGAAAUGAAAUCAGGGCAGAAGAUGCUGUGGCACUGUUAUUGAAACAUAAAAGAGGGUACCAUGCAGUUGAUGAUGAGGCAGGACAUAACAUUGAAGACGAUAAAAUGCCAAAAAGAGUGCUUGGACCAGAGAGACCUUCAUUUCUUGACGGGAAAAUGGAUUAUGAAUCCUGGGUGCCUCCUAAAGGACAAUCAGGCGAUGGACGGACUUCACUAAAUGAUCUUUUUAGUUACUGAAAUCUCAGCAUCAGAGGAAGGAAUUCCUGUAAGGGAGGGUUAUAUGCUACUUAGUUGUUUUACUUGGUUACUGUGUAUAAAAAUGAGUUUUUUGGUGUAUCGGCUUUUAUGCCAAUUAUCACUCAUCAGAGUUAUUAGGUUGUGAACUUUGGUGUUUAGAACUAUUGUUCGCCUAGUGUAUAUAUUUCACAAUUUUUCUUCAGCCCAUUGUGUUGAUCAUGAUGACUGACGAGAAUUAUGUUUUGUGCUGUGUUUUUAGUUUUUCUACGGAGCUGAAUUGUCAUUGCAUUUACAUUUAAA